AUUGAACGCUGGCGGCAGGCUUAACACAUGCAAGUCGAGCGGUAACAUUUCUAGCUUGCUAGAAGAUGACGAGCGGCGGACGGGUGAGUAAUACUUAGGAAUCUACCUAGUAGUGGGGGAUAGCUCGGGGAAACUCGAAUUAAUACCGCAUACGACCUACGGGAGAAAGGGGGCAACUUGUUGCUCUCGCUAUUAGAUGAGCCUAAGUCGGAUUAGCUAGUUGGUGGGGUAAAGGCCUACCAAGGCGACGAUCUGUAGCUGGUCUGAGAGGAUGAUCAGCCACACCGGGACUGAGACACGGCCCGGACUCCUACGGGAGGCAGCAGUGGGGAAUAUUGGACAAUGGGGGCAACCCUGAUCCAGCCAUGCCGCGUGUGUGAAGAAGGCCUUUUGGUUGUAAAGCACUUUAAGCAGUGAAGAAGACUUCAUGGUUAAUACCCAUGGACGAUGACAUUAGCUGCAGAAUAAGCACCGGCUAACUCUGUGCCAGCAGCCGCGGUAAUACAGAGGGUGCAAGCGUUAAUCGGAAUUACUGGGCGUAAAGGGAGCGUAGGUGGCUCGAUAAGUCAGAUGUGAAAGCCCCGGGCUUAACCUGGGAACGGCAUCUGAUACUGUUGAGCUAGAGUAUGUGAGAGGAAGGUAGAAUUCCAGGUGUAGCGGUGAAAUGCGUAGAGAUCUGGAGGAAUACCGAUGGCGAAGGCAGCCUUCUGGCAUAAUACUGACACUGAGGCUCGAAAGCGUGGGUAGCAAACAGGAUUAGAUACCCUGGUAGUCC
rnacentral:rRNA from 1 species